GGAAUAUUGGUCAAUGGGCGCGAGCCUGAACCAGCCAAGUAGCGUGAGGGAUGACUGCCCUAUGGGUUGUAAACCUCUUUUAUGCGGGAAUAACGUCGCCUACGUGUAGGCGAGUGCAUGUACCGCAUGAAUAAGCAUCGGCUAAUUCCGUGCCAGCAGCCGCGGUAAUACGGAAGAUGCGAGCGUUAUCAGGAUUUAUUGGGUUUAAAGGGAGCGUAGGCGGACUGUUAAGUCAGCGGUAAAAUGUCGGAGCCCAACUCCGUCCCGCCGUUGAUACUGGUGGUCUUGAAUGUGCACAAGGAAGGUGGAAUUCGUGGUGUAGCGGUGAAAUGCUUAGAUAUCACGAAGAACUCCGAUUGCGAAGGCAUCCUUCUGGAGCAUGAUUGACGCUGAGGCUCGAAAGUGCGGGUAUCGAACA
rnacentral:rRNA from 1 species